rnacentral:rRNA from 1 species
AUUGAACGCUGGCGGCAUGCUUUACACAUGCAAGUCGAACGGUAACAGGCCGCAAGGUGCUGGCGAGUGGCGAACGGGUGAGUAAUGCAUCGGAACGUGCCCAGUCGUGGGGGAUAACUACUCGAAAGAGUAGCUAAUACCGCAUACGAUCUAUGGAUGAAAGCGGGGGACCGUAAGGCCUCGCGCGAUUGGAGCGGCAGAUGUCAGAUUAGGUAGUUGGUGGGGUAAAGGCUCACCAAGCCAACGAUCUGUAGCUGGUCUGAGAGGACGACCAGCCACACGGGGACUGAGACACGGCCCAGACUCCUACGGGAGGCAGCAGUGGGGAAUUUUGGACAAUGGGCGCAAGCCUGAUCCAGCAAUGCCGCGUGCAGGAAGAAGGCCUUCGGGUUGUAAACUGCUUUUGUACGGAACGAAACGGCUCUGGUUAAUACCCGGGGCUAAUGACGGUACCGGAAGAAUAAGCACCGGCUAACUACGUG